UACGUAGGGUGCUAGCGUUGUUCGGAAUCAUUGGGCGUAAAGCGCGUGUAGGCUGUUAGGUAAGUCGAUUGUGAAAUCCCUGGGCUCAACCGAGGAAGUGCAGUCGAUACGGGCAGGCUAGAGUUCGGUAGGGGAGACUGGAAUUCCUGGUGUAGCGGUGAAAUGCGCAGAUAUCGGGAGGAACACCAGUGGCGAAGGCGGCACUCUGGGCCAGUACUGACGCUGAGGAGCGAAAGCGUGGGGAGCGAACAGG
rnacentral:rRNA from 1 species